AAUCAGGUGAAGAAGGUCCCAAUUCCAGUGCUGGGUGAUGGUGAAUGUGACUCAACUCCACAAAGCCCCUGCUUCCCAAGUUCACCCCAAGAAAACAUCAAAAAUUGGCAAAUUCUGUCCAAAGCAACAACAGCAGAGGAAAACCUGAGUUCGACUGAGCUAACCUUCACCAAAUUCUGCAAAUUAGGGCUUCGUGGAUUCCUCUGGAAGUCAAGAAUCCAGCAAACCAAGUUUCGUCGAAAUCCGACCUCCCUACGUCGCGCACGAGCCAAAACACUGGAGGUCGUCGCUGAAGAACUGCAGAAUCAGCACUCCAUCAAGCUGGAUCAUGGAAGUUUGAUGCAAUUUGAAGCAAAUCCGAGGUUUGAGAUGCAAAAAGGGGUUUCUCUGUGAAGGAGGGAAGAAAAGAGCUCACCAGGGACGCUUCUCAGCUAUUUAUAGGGUGAAAAUAGGAUCAGAUGAGCCUCAAGAGCAGAGCUUGCAAUCUGCUGUCCCUGCAGAAACGGGCGUUUCUGGGCGCCCGGAAACAUGUUCUGGGCGACCAGAACAUCCUGACUACACAAACCGGGCCCUUUGGACUCUCCGCCCGCGGUGCGCUGCGCCCGUAAACGACUCCGGCGGAACUCACCUACCGCCCUGCCACGCGUCGAAGCAAGCGAUAUUCACGAGGUGAAAUUUCUGGACCCACUUCUGGGCGCCCGGAACAUGGGAUCCGAAUUGGCUUCCAGUUUCAAUUAAAAUCAACACUCGUUUCUGGGCGACCCUAACAAUGUUCUGGGCGCCCGAAUCUGGCAAAACUUCAGUUUUGCUUAUUUGAGUGCGCCGAGUCCAAUUCUGCAUCCAAUUCGUGCAGAAUUGACUCCGACUCAGUCCGACACUCUCCAGAGAUGUCGACCAGUCUAUAAUACUGAAGCCAAUCCUAUCCAAAGCUCAGGAACACU
rnacentral:lncRNA from 1 species